rnacentral:lncRNA from 1 species
AUCAUAUCUAUAUCUAAUUUGAGUUCAGAACUCAAUACCUAUGUGCGGGUAGCUGAUCACCAUAAUUGCCAACCAUAGUAAUUGGUUCUUACUGAUGUCAAGUAGCUACAUAGAUCAUCCGAUCUCUACGGGAUGUCCACACGAAGUCCUAAUGUCAAUCGAUCUCCCAAGAGUGUGAGCUCAUGCAUCUUCUGAAAGAUAAAAAUGGACUAGGAGGAGGAUGAGGUAGUGGUGCA